AGUGAUUUGGCAGAUUAGUGCAUUAAAUUUAGAAUUUAAUUAAGUAUAAAUGAUAUAUACAUUCAUUA
rnacentral:tRNA from 1 species